rnacentral:rRNA from 1 species
GUAGGUGGCAAGCGUUGUCCGGAAUUAUUGGGCGUAAAGCGCGCGCAGGCGGUCCUUUAAGUCUGAUGUGAAAGCCCACGGGCUCAACCGUGGAGGGUCAUUGGAAACUGGGGGACUCGAGUGCAGAAGAGGAAAGCGGAAUUCCAAGUGUAGCGGUGAAAUGCGUAGAGAUUUGGAGGAACACCAGUGGCGAAGGCGGCUUUCUGGUCUGUAACUGACGCUGAGGCGCGAAAGCGUGGGGAGCAAACAGGAUUAGAUACCCUGGUAGUCCACGCCGUAAACGAUGAGUGCUAAGUGUUAGGGGGUUUCCGCCCCUUAGUGCUGCAGCUAACGCAUUAAGCACUCCGCCUGGGGAGUACGGCCGCAAAGGCUG